rnacentral:lncRNA from 1 species
GAACAUGCCAUAGAAAACCAAGUUUUACCAAACUUAGAAGCGAAACCUAUGACACAUUGACCAAAACACUUAGAACAUGUCAAGUUCCACACAAUCGAGACAACAAAUUAAAAUUGAAGAGUUUGAACCCACACCUGAUUCACGAUCAGAGACAUCUAGAACCCGACUCGAUGACCAAGAAAUCGAAGCUCUUCGAAAACCACAACACAACCAUUUUCAAAAAAGAGAAAAGAAAAGAAGAAAAACAAAAAAAAAGAAAACAAAGAAGGGGGAAAAGGAGAAUGUCCAGAAAGAAAGAAAAGAAAUAAUAAUAAAAAUAAUAAAAUAAACACUAAGUAAAGAAAAUAAUUAUCUAAACCUUUAAAACAAAACAAAAAAAAAGGUCCCUCAAAACACUCCUAAGGACUCAAACUCAAAACUCAAUGGCACACUAACACAUUACCAACCACCAAACCACCAAACCCAUUCUGUCACUUAAAUGCGCAACUAAACACAAUAGCACAACCUACUCACUGACCCUAAUUACAAAGCUCAA